UGGCCAUUUUCUUUGAGCUUGCUAUGGGGGCAGCCAUUUUCAUAGCCCCUGCUUGUUCAGCAGCCAGACAGGGGAGUUAAAAGUUAUAACUCAGAGCAGACAGAAGCAGUCGAACCUUUGUUUGCCUCUCGCAGCCAGGCGGCCCUGGAUCGCUUACAUUUUACUGGCCCAGGGGGCAGAUGGCACCCUGUCCCCCUUGCUAGCCAGCCUCUGCAUUACAGAUAUGAGUUAGGGAUGGCUAUCUGAAACUGACAGUUGGCUACCAUCGAUAUCCCUGAACCAAUGGAAAAGCAUGUUGCAGUAACGCGGCCACUAUUCGAUGUCCAUCCCAAAUAUGAGUAUGUUUUGUAAAUUAAGGAUAGCGUAUUUAUAACACAUGCAGUAUAAGUAAUAAACAUGACUGGUUUUAUUGUA